rnacentral:rRNA from 1 species
AGUGAACGCUGGCGGUAGGCCUAACACAUGCAAGUCGAACGGCAGCACAGUAAGAGCUUGCUCUUACGGGUGGCGAGUGGCGGACGGGUGAGGAAUACAUCGGAAUCUACUUUUUCGUGGGGGAUAACGUAGGGAAACUUACGCUAAUACCGCAUACGACCUACGGGUGAAAGCAGGGGAUCUUCGGACCUUGCGCGAUUGAAUGAGCCGAUGUCGGAUUAGCUAGUUGGCGGGGUAAAGGCCCACCAAGGCGACGAUCCGUAGCUGGUCUGAGAGGAUGAUCAGCCACACUGGAACUGAGACACGGUCCAGACUCCUACGGGAGGCAGCAGUGGGGAAUAUUGGACAAUGGGCGCAGGCCUGAUCCAGCCAUACCGCGUGGGUGAAGAAGGCCUUCGGGUCGUAAAGCCCUUUUGUUGGGAAAGAAAAGCAGCAGGUUAAUACCCCGCUGUUCUGACGGUACCCAAAGAAUAAGCACCGGCUAACUUCGUG